rnacentral:rRNA from 1 species
CCUACGGGGGGCAGCAGUGGGGAAUAUUGCACAAUGGGCGCAAGCCUGAUGCAGCCAUGCCGCGUGUGUGAAGAAGGCCUUCGGGUUGUAAAGCACUUUCAGCGGGGAGGAAGGCGGUGAGGUUAAUAACCUCAUCGAUUGACGUUACCCGCAGAAGAAGCACCGGCUAACUCCGUGCCAGCAGCCGCGGUAAUACGGAGGGUGCAAGCGUUAAUCGGAAUUACUGGGCGUAAAGCGCACGCAGGCGGUCUGUCAAGUCGGAUGUGAAAUCCCCGGGCUCAACCUGGGAACUGCAUUCGAAACUGGCAGGCUAGAGUCUUGUAGAGGGGGGUAGAAUUCCAGGUGUAGCGGUGAAAUGCGUAGAGAUCUGGAGGAAUACCGGUAGCGAAGGCGGCCCCCUGGACAAAGACUGACGCUCAGGUGCGAAAGCGUGGGGAGCAAACAGGAUUAGAUACCCCUGUAGUC